AUUGAACGCUGGCGGCAGGCCUAACACAUGCAAGUCGAGCGGCAGCGGGAAAGUAGCUUGCUACUUUUGCCGGCGAGCGGCGGACGGGUGAGUAAUGCCUGGGGAUCUGCCCAGUCGAGGGGGAUAACUACUGGAAACGGUAGCUAAUACCGCAUACGCCCUACGGGGGAAAGCAGGGGACCUUCGGGCCUUGCGCGAUUGGAUGAACCCAGGUGGGAUUAGCUAGUUGGUGAGGUAAUGGCUCACCAAGGAGACGAUCCCUAGCUGGUCUGAGAGGAUGAUCAGCCAGACUGGAACUGAGACACGGUCCAGACUCCUACGGGAGGCAGCAGGGGGGAAUAUUGCACAAUGGGGGAAGCCCUGAUGCAGCCAUGCCGCGUGUGUGAAGAAGGCCUUCGGGUUGUAAAGCACUUUCAGCGAGGAGGAAAGGUUGGUAGCUAAUAACUGCCAGCUGUGACGUUACUCGCAGAAGAAGCACCGGCUAACUCCGUGCCAGCAGCCGCGGUAAAAC
rnacentral:rRNA from 1 species